CAUACAUGCAAGUCGAACGAGAAUCUGGUGCUUGCACCAGAGGAAAGUGGCGGACGGGUGAGUAAUAUGUAGAGAAUCUGCCCUUAGCGGGGGACGAACAGUUGGAAACGACUGCUAAUACCCCAUAUGAGCGUAGCUGAGAUGCUAUUCUUGAAAACUCCGGUGCUAAAGGAUGAGUCUGCAUCUGAUUAGCUAGUUGGCGGUGUAAUGGACCACCAAGGCGACGAUCAGUAGCUGGUUUGAGAGGAUGAUCAGCCACAAUGGGACUGAGACACGGCCCAUACUCCUACGGGAGGCAGCAGUAGGGAAUUUUGCGCAAUGGGCGAAAGCCUGACGCAGCAACGCCGCGUGACCGAUGAAGCCCUUCGGGGUGCAAAGGUCUGUCAGUGGGGACGAAACUUGACGGUACCCACAGAGGAAGCAUCGGCUAACUCCGUGCCAGCCGCGGC
rnacentral:rRNA from 1 species